rnacentral:tRNA from 1 species
GCUCCCGUAGCUCAGCGGAUAGAGCAUCUGCCUUCUAAGCAGAGGGUCGCAGGUUCGAGUCCUGCCGGGGGCACCA